AGGCCGGUAGUUUAACGGUAGAACACAAGACUUUGACUCUUGUAGUCCGGGUUCGAUUCCCGGUCGGCUUG
rnacentral:tRNA from 1 species